CCCGAAUUUAUUGGGUUUCAAAGGGCUGCGUAGGCGGUCCCUCGUAAGUCAGCGGUGCAAAUCGGGCAGCUGUAACUGUAAACGCGCCAGUUGAUACUGUGACGCUAGUGAUUGGUUGCUGUGGGCGGAAUGUGUGGUGUAGCGGUGAAAUGCUUAGAGAUCACACAGAAUAUGGAUGGGGAAGGCAGCUCACACAGCCCAAGAUUGACGCUGAGGCACGAAAUGCGUGCGGAUCAUAACAGGAUUAGAUACCUGGGUAGUACACACUGUAAACGAUGAUGACUCGCUCUCGGCGAUAGACCGUCGGUGGCGAAGCGAAAGCGAUAUGUCAUCCCACCUGCGGAGUACGACUGCAAGGUGGAAACUCAAUGGAAUUGACGAGGCACCGCACACGCGCGAGGAACAUGUGGUUUACUACGAUGAUACGCGAGGAACCUUACUCGGGAAUCGAACGGUGCAUGAAUGUUCAAGAGAUUGGACAGUCCUUCGGGACAUGUAUCGAGGUGCUGCAUGGUAAUCGUCAGCUCGUUCCGUGAGGUGUGGGCUUAAGUGCCAUAACGAGCGCAACUCUUGUCAUUAGUUACCAUCAGGUUAAGGUGGGGACUUUAGUGUGACUCCCACCGUAAGGUGUUAGGAAGGGGGGGAUGACGUCAAAUCAGCACGGCCGGUAUACCAGGGUAUACACUCCUGUUUCAUCGGCAGGUACUGAGGCCUCCCAGUCAGUGAUAACGCGCCAAUCUCCAAAACCUUUCUCAGUUCGGAUUGGAGUCUGCACCUUGAAUCCAUGAAGCUGGAUUUCCUAGUAAUCCCGCAUCAUC
rnacentral:rRNA from 1 species